CAAGAAUAGAGCCCUGAGGGACCACACAUUUUACAGUAAGUUUCUGAUGAGCUGCUCUCCAAUACAGUGUGCUGUGUCUGCUGACAAAGAUAAUUACAUUUCAAACCAACUUAAUGCUGUCUCCGAAUUCCAAGUCACGUUCCUGGAGAAUCUAACAACAUAUCACUGUCUACCGUGUCAAAGAAUCUGAGGUGAAGUAUCUAAUUGACCCAGAUGAGCCAGAAGAGAUGCUGGGAAAUGGAGUAUCCGGCAAUUUCAUCUUUUGUGGGGGAUUCUCAAAAUAUAGAAGAAGUUUAGAUGAUGGGCACCCUCCAGGCUCUGGACAAAAAGGAAGCGAGUCAAAGGCUUCUACAGGAGACUAACACGUGGAACCCACAGCAACUGAUCCAUCACAUAAAUGCUUGGUUCCAAAAGAAAAAGAAAGAACUAAUUAUGUGUAAGCCAUUCACAAAGUACAGAUGAUGUCACACAGAUGAGGGCAGGCAUCCUAGUGUUUUCCUGUGUUAAGGUACACAAUUGAAACUCAGCUACUUUAAGAAGUAAUAC
rnacentral:lncRNA from 1 species